rnacentral:piRNA from 1 species
AUCGUUUUGUACCCGUUGGAGAAGUGACA